rnacentral:rRNA from 1 species
UACGUAGGUGGCAAGCGUUGUCCGGAUUUAUUGGGUUUAAAGGGUGCGUAGGCGGUCUUAUAAGUCAGUGCUGAAAUAUCCCGGCUUAACCGGGAGGGUGGCAUUGAUACUGCAAGACUUGAGUAGAGUUGAGGUUGGCGGAAUUGACGGUGGUAGCGGUGAAAUGCUUAGAUAUCGUCAAGAACACCGAUAGUGAAGACAGCUAACUAAGCUCUAACUGACGCUGAGGCACGAAAGUGUGGGGAUCAAACAGG